rnacentral:rRNA from 1 species
CCUACGGGAGGCAGCAGUGGGGAAUAUUGGGCAAUGGGCGAAAGCCUGACCCAGCAACGCCGCGUGAGGGAAGAAGGCUUUCGGGAUGUAAAGCUCUAUUAGCAGGGAAGAAAGAAGUGACGGUACCGGACGAAUAAGCGACGGCUAACUACGGGCCAGCAGCCGCGGUAAGACGUAGGGGGCAAGCGUUAGCCGGAUUUACUGGGUGUAAAGGGCGGGUAGGCGGGGAUGCAAGGCAGAUGUGAAACCCCUGGGCUCAACCGGUGGCCUGCUUUUGAAACUGUAUGGCUUGAGUGCAGGAGAGGUAAGUGGAAUUCCUAGUGUAGCGGUUAAAUGCGUAGAUAUUAGGAGGAACACCAGUGGCGAAGGCGGUUUACUGGACUGUAACUGACGUUGAGGCUCGAAAGCGUGGGGAGCAAACAGGAUUAGAUACCCUUGUAGUC